AGUUACUCAAGACAAUAUGAUAAAGGACCAAAGGUAGCCUUCAAAUUCUUCUUGGUCGUGAUGGCUAUCGGCGUAAACAUGUCUAUUUUUAUGGUUCAGCAUGUCAGCGGAGAAAAAUCUCAAGAACCGAAUGUUGGCCGUCGGGAGAUGUAGAUGGGAUGCCGGGUGAAUAUGUUUGGUUGAAUUACAAAGAAGUAUAUGACAUCGUGUUGAAAGUUGAGGCUUCCAUCCACAGUUGUGGAGUUGAGAAGUCAUCUUGAUUGUAUACGAGAUAGGGUUUCAACAUCCUAGCAACUGUACUGGUGCUGAUUUCCUGUCAGAACAGUAUGGCAGUACGGAUUGCAGCAUCCUGAUGGUUUUUGAAUCCAUGCUAAAGAUUAAGGGGACAUGGCCAAUGGCAACCAGAUGGAAGCAUCAAAAUUAUUGAUAGGAAGAAAAAUAUUUUCAAACUUUCUCAAGGAGAGUACGUUGCAGUUGAAAAUCUGGAGAACAUCUAUAGUCUUAUUCCUGAUAUAG